rnacentral:rRNA from 1 species
GAUGAACGCUGGCGGCGUGCUUAACACAUGCAAGUCGAACGGAAAGGCCCUGCUUUUGUGGGGUGCUCGAGUGGCGCACGGGUGAGUAACACGUGUGUAACCUCCCCUUGACUUUGGGAUAACUUCAGGAAACUGGGGCUAAUACCGGAUAGGAGCUCCUGCUGCACGGUGGGGGAUGGAAAGUUUCGGCGGUUGGGGAUGGACUCGCGGCUUAUCAGCUUGUUGGUGGGGUAGUGGCUUACCAAGGCUUUGACGGGUAGCCGGCCUGAGAGGGUGACCGGCCACAUUGGGACUGAGAUACGGCCCAGACUCCUACGGGAGGCAGCAGUGGGGAAUAUUGCACAAUGGGCGGAAGCCUGAUGCAGCAACGCCGCGUGCGGGAUGACGGCCUUCGGGUUGUAAACCGCUUUCGCCUGUGACGAAGCGUGAGUGACGGUAAUGGGUAAAGAAGCACCGGCUAACUACGUG